rnacentral:rRNA from 1 species
GACGAACGCUGGCGGCGUGCCUAAUACAUGCAAGUUGAGCGAUGAAGAUUGGUGCUUGCACCAAUUUGAAGAGCAGCGAACGGGUGAGUAACGCGUGGGGAAUCUGCCUUUGAGCGGGGGACAACAUUUGGAAACGAAUGCUAAUACCGCAUAACAACUUUAAACAUAAGUUUUAAGUUUGAAAGAUGCAAUUGCAUCACUCAAAGAUGAUCCCGCGUUGUAUUAGCUAGUUGGUGAGGUAAAGGCUCACCAAGGCGAUGAUACAUAGCCGACCUGAGAGGGUGAUCGGCCACAUUGGGACUGAGACACGGCCCAAACUCCUACGGGAGGCAGCAGUAGGGAAUCUUCGGCAAUGGACGAAAGUCUGACCGAGCAACGCCGCGUGAGUGAAGAAGGUUUUCGGAUCGUAAAACUCUGUUGGUAGAGAAGAACGUUGGUGAGAGUGGAAAGCUCAUCAAGUGACGGUAACUACCCAGAAAGGGACGGCUAACUACGUGCCAGCCGCCGCCGUAACAC